AGCUAUGGAAACCAUGGUCAUACAGGUAGCUAUGGUAGAAACCAUGGUCAUACAGGUAGCUAUGGUAGAAACCAUGGUCAUACAGGUAGCUAUGGAAACCAUGGUCAUACAGAUAGCUAUGGAAAUCAUUAUCAUACAGGUAGCUAUGGAAACCAUGACCAUACAGGUAGCUAUGGAAACCAUGAUCAUACGGGUAGCUAUGGAAACCAUGACCAUACAGGUAGCUAUGGAAACCAUGAUCAUACAGGUAGCUAUGGAAACCAUGACCAUACAGGUAGCUAUGGAAACCAUGAUCAUACAGGUAGCUAUGGAAAUCAUGAUCAUACAGGUAGCUAUGGAAACCAUGAUCAUACAGGUAGCUAUGGAAACCAUGAUCAUACAGGUAGCUAUGGAAACCAUGACCAUACAGGUAGCUAUUGCUUUAAACCACAACAAUGUGUACAUGGCCUAUCCCAGGUCUAGUAAAAUAGUAUUGUAUUUGGGUAUUUCCAGAGAGCGCUAUGAUAAAUUAUGAUAAAUUCUCCCUGGGUUGUGUCCCUGUGUGAUAGGGUAAGAUUCAUGUUUUUUGUACAAUGGUGCAGCUAUUGUGUCCUAGCUGAAUUUCCCUACAGAGACAAUAAAGUUGAUCUCAUCUUCUCCUCUAGCGAUGUUGGCUGGCGUUCCGAGCUGACAACAGGUGCCUUGCAGCCACAGUGAUCCAGGCGGCAUGGAGAGGUUCUCAGGAGAGGACAGACUACUUGAGAAUGAGGAACAGCGUCAAGAAAAUGCAGGCACUGAUCAGGAACAAACAAGGUCCAAACAGGUACUAAGACUAUGUAUUUGUCUAACUUACUAAUGGACAAUAAAAGUUGUAGAACUUUAAACUUCAGGGCCCUGAGUUUUUUAACUGACCAGGACAAAUGUCUAGCCCUACUUCUAGCACUAAGGCUGAGGGAGAGAAGCCCGCCACGCCUCCCCAGCUCCCUCCCAAAACGCAGUCCACGCAUCAGUACCAAACCCAGCACCAGAGAAACCUGGAGAGGACGGAGCUGAGGAGGAGGCAGCACAGUGAGGAACACAGUCCCAACAGAAGCCCCGAGACAGGCCCAGAAGUCAAUGGACAGAAGGCCUCCCAGAGGAACACAGAGAUGGAGAAGAGAGAGGGAAGAGGCUCUCCACCUCCCCUCAACAGACCUCUCUCCUUCCCGCUAGACGCCAAGGCUGGCAGGGAUGGAGAGGGGGAGUCAACCAGCCCCUCCCAUCACGCAGGCUCACUGAAGGGUUGCUCCACCUUGGAGGACAGUAAGGAGCGUGCUGAGGGAUGGAAUGUGAGCAGGAGGGAGGGAGGACACCAGGAAGACUCCCGCGCUGAGGUCCAGCGACCCAGGAAUAUGGAGGGGUUGCUGUGGAACUCUGGGUCGGUGUCAGACAGCUCUCCCAUCGCUACUGAGUUUCCGAAAUGUUCUGAUAUUUCCACGGACGGGGCUAGUUUCAGCCUCCCAGAUGAGAGCAUAACCCGCAGAGACUCCAGCCAAUCCCAGCCGACCACUCCUGAUAGGUAA
rnacentral:lncRNA from 1 species